GGCUGAAAACCUUACUGCAGCACAACUGCCUGUGGAGAAACUUACUCCUCCUUCCACGACUGCAAGAGAAUGAGCAAGAGGCCUCAGGACAGAGCUGGUGGAAGAAGACGCACUGGAGUUAUGAUCACAAUUUGGAAUACCACAAGGGUUCAACAAGCACUUCGAAGUAGACUAGAAAAUGAUGGGACUCACAGAAAACAGUCCCAUUUCAGUGCCAAGCUAUUCUCUUAGGCAGUGAGUGCUAAAGAAUCCCAUGACCAUUGGGAAACAAGUGAAUAAGGAACACAAAGCAAAAUCUUCACAGUUAAUCAAGUAAGCAAGAUACAAAAUCUCAGACCAGAUGUGCCAUAUUGCAAAAAAUGGUUGUUUUGCAGAGAAAUGACUAAACUUACUUUCAGGC